rnacentral:rRNA from 1 species
UACGGAGGAUCCAAGCGUUAUCCGGAAUUACUGGGCGUAAAGAGUUGCGUAGGUGGCGUAGUAAGUUGGUAGUGAAAGCGUUCGGCUCAACCGGAUAGACAUUAUCAAAACUGCUAAGCUAGAGGAUGAGAGAGGUUAUUGGAAUUCCCGGGGUAGGGGUGAAAUCCUAAAAUCCCGGGAGGAGCACCUGUGGCGGAAGCGCUCGACGAUUACGGAUCCGACGGUGAGGGACGAAAGCCAGGGGAGCAAAGCGG